GCUCUGACGUUUAUCUCUCGGUGUCUUUCUACCUAUCCCAAAACCCACUUCGGAACUGUCUGGGCUACAUCCGUAUUUCUAUGGAUGAAACAAUGCACGGGACCAUUCAAAUCCUGCCCAUCAUAAUGACCUGACCUAUGAAUCCACUUGUGAUAACCUUGACCAUCAACAAAAGGUCUUCAAUUCCUACCUAAGAAACUGCAGAGAAUAUGUAUUGGAUGCUGUCAGAAAAGGGAAAGUCUUUCACUCAUAUUUGAGUCUGCCCACUGUUUUUAAUUCAGAUCUUGUUUUCUUGCACAGCUCCAGUGAGAGCAAAGGAUGAGAACAGAGAGCUGGGAGAGCCACCAACACAAAAACAGCUGAAAUGUGUUCUCUCAGGCAAAAAGCCAGAAAUCAUGAGGAUUACCAUCAGGAGGCUACUCUCUGUUAACCACAGUGAAAGCAGGAGACCUUCACCCUAUGUCUCUCCUAAUCACAGUGUCUGACUUCUCCACUUCCCCUUCAGCUCUGUCUCCUCUUCAAACAGAUUUCACCAAUCUCACAAAACUCACGUAUUUCCAGUCUUCCAGGCAUGUUGAUGGCACCAUAUCCAACAGAUGCAGCAAAGAUGUGUAUAUUUACUGGGAAAAAAUGAGGAGCACAGAUUUCAUUAAUGAGCAAUGUUCAACUGAGAACUGAGCUGACAGUGAAAAGCUCAGUGUAAGUCAUGAGGCUGCACAUUCGUUCUACAUAAUGGACCUUGCAUUUACUCAUUUACCUGUUGCCUGCAGAGAAACCUCUUAGUAUUUCAUUUCGGCUGAUUAGAAACAAAACUAAUGCAAGCAUUUUUUAACUAAUUAAUCAGGAACUUUCUUACAGUGUUUUUCAGCCAUUCUUAAACGGUUUUAGUCUGUAGCCAAGUGGUUACUCUCAGAUACUAAACAAAUGAUAUCAUGAGUGCAAAGUCUCCUAGCUACUAAUGGCACCCAACAUUUACAUUCAAACCUGUUCUCUCCACCCAUCUGGUAUCAAUUUAAAUUCCUCUCAACAAAAAUAGAGGAAAAAAAUCAGCUUUAAAGGAGAAGAGUGGAGAAGACAAUGCUUCAGUAAAGCUAUUACACAUAGUAAUGUCUGCAAGGAAUGAAAAAACCCAGAGGGUUUCUCAUGUGACUUGAGAAGAACAGAGGUGUGAGACUGGGGUGUAAUUACAUCUAGUGCUGUCUGCAGAUAUGCUGGAAAAAAAAGAUUGGAUAUUGAAGAACAACACAAUGUAAACAGACUAUAAUGGGCUACUUGACAAUAGUAGAGAAAAGGCCAGAAAAGGCCAGGGAAAUACCAGUUAUUACUUGUACCAUUGUAACUACAAAACAGUAAUAUUGCCAGAGUUUAAAAACAAAUCAUAUGUAGCAUUUCUACCAUUAGUCCCAUUAACGCCAUUAAAAUAGGGAAUUUAACAUGUAAGACAUAGUGAAACGCAGCUAUCCCCAGUUUUUAGAAGGAGGAGGAUAAAGGGGAGGAUAAAGAUGUGACUGGUAUCCAAUGUGCCCUAAUGAUGCAGACAUUAAUGAGGACUUGGGAGGUUUUGCUCUUUCCCUGGCUGUAUCUGCCCAGCCUUACUGGACCACUUUCUGCAAGUUGCUUCUCACUUCCCUGCUUCAGUUUCUCCAUGAAAAUAUUCUUAUUUUAGCAAAUGUUUUGUGACUUACUAUCAUAAAGCACUAUAUGAGAUCUAGUUAUGAACUAGAACUUGUUCAUUGAAUGAAAAUGCUCAGGCAACAACUUAAACCUAAUCUGACCCAUCCAAAAAUCUUUCCUGUGCAGAGAAAAGAAGUAAAGAUGUAAAUAGCAAUUUACAAAAGUCUCUGGCAAACAAGCAAACACCCUAAAUACAACCUAGGAUAAUACAAUGUUUGUUGAGUAUUUCUUGUAUCUUUUCAAAAUGCAGAGUGACAAUUAGUUACACGGGAAAAAAAAAUCAGAACACUAAGAUAUAAAGUGUUCUCCAGCACAACCAUUACUCUUCUAUGCACAGUGACUCCAUCUUCCAGGCAGUGCACAGCUCUGAGAAUUGCACAUACAGCCUCUGCCAAGGCCAGACCUGUGUUCAGGUGUGGCUGUACCAAACACAACUAUCCUACAUCUAUUCCUGAUCAGCACUGGAGUCUACUUCUCAUGCACAGGACACCUCAACACAUUUUUCUUUCUAAAGCCUAAAAAUAUCCUUUUAAUGGCUUCUUAAAAGUCCUUUUAAAAUUCUACACCCAGACCACACUUACUGCUGAGAGUCUGCAUGACCUGAAGAACUUUAUGCACAGCACUGCAGUUUUACAGUAAGUGCAUUAAAACUAGCUAUGAAAGCAUAUGCAUGCAAAUUACUAAUGGCUCUUGAAGUAUGCAUGGAGAAUUAGGGGUUAUAUUUAGCACUUCACAUACUAGUCUUCAGAGUUGAAUUGCAUUUACUU